GACGAACGCUGGCGGCGUGCUUAACACAUGCAAGUCGAACGGAAAGGCCCGGCAUUUGUGGGGUGCUCGAGUGGCGAACGGGGGAGUAACACGUGAGUAACCUGCCCCUGACUUUGGGAUAACUUCAGGAAACUCGGGCUAAUACCGGAUAUGAGCUCCUGCUGCAUGGUGUGGGUUGGAAAGUUUCGGCGGUUUGGGAUGGAGUCGCGGCUCAUCCGCUUGUUGGUGGGGUAGUGGCUUACCAAGGCUUUGACGGGUAGCCAGACUGAGAGGGUGACCGGCCACAUUGGGAUUGAGAUACGGCCCAGAGGCCUACGGGAGGCAGCAGUGGGGGAUAGAGCACGAUGGGCGGAGUCAUGAUGCAGCGUCGCCGCGUGCGAGAUGACUGCCGUCGGGGUGUAACCCGCUUGCGCCUGGAACGAAGCGUGAGUGACGGUAAUGGGUAAAGAAGCACCGGCUAACUACGUG
rnacentral:rRNA from 1 species